GUGGAAAAAAAUAGAGAAUUGGGAGUAAAGGAGGGACCCGAAAAAGAAUUGGGUUAGAAUUGUAAUUGUUAAACUGAUUAUAAAACCCUAACCUGUUAUUCGUUUUUCAGAGUUGCAACAUUCCACAGAUCGACUGCAGCCGCAGAUAAGAUGGCCACUGCUUUAUCUUCUGGUAUUGACGAAAUCAGGCCUCCUGAUAUCACAAAAUCAUCAGAUGUUGAAGAACGAUCGUUGCCUGUUCAGAGGAUUUCGGUAUCAUCAUCCAGGGUGUUGAAGAGUGAUCUCGUUUCAGUCUUUGAAAGAGAUACUAUAGCUAUCAUCCUGGGGCAUCGGACGCUGAAGGUGAUGCAGGGCCAUCUGUGAAACUACAGGUGGCCCGUACAAGCUAAACCAUUAAUACAAAGAAUAGGAGAAAGCUUCAAGUGGUCCAUACAAGCUAAGCCAUGAUCUGGAUCAAAAGUACAGUGAGUCUCCUACAAUUGUGCAGUUCUGGGACGAGUCACACAAGAACAAAAACACAGAUGAGUGGGCAUCUGAGAGUGCUUGGUUGAUUGGGGUAUAAAUACUUGGUUAUUUUGUUGUUCAUCAGAAUCAGAAUCAGAAUCUGAAUCUGAAUCUGAAUCUGAAUCAGAUGCGAGAGAUAUUAGCAACAAAACAAGCCACGGGGAAGCAUCUCAUGAUUGGGAAUCUGGAAUUCAGCGUUAAUCCAAGCACAGGGACAAAUUAAGAAAAAACAGGUCCUCGGUCUUCUUCGAAUCCCUGCAAAUUCGGUUAUCCGGGCCCUCAAAGAUAGGAAGCAACGUCAGAGCCAGAGGAACCAUAGGUUUCAGCCAGCAGCAGCAGUAGUUGGUGGUGGUCGGCGGUUGGUGGUGGUGUUUGAUGAAGAAGAAGAAGAAGGUGGCUACUUUUAAUAAUUACAGGGGUGUUAUGGUUAUUUCACAGAAGGUCGUUCUAUGGCGGAAAAGUGGUUUUUUAGCAACCAUUUCUAUUUGCAAAGCACAGAGAUCAUCCAAGGAAAGUGUGGUUCAUACUUUACACAAAUGAAUCACAAUGGUUACAGCGGCGUAUUUUCUAAGCUUUAGUUGAAUAACAAGUAGAUAAAUAAAUCUUGAAGAUUAUUAAUUAAUGUUGUGGUUAUCUUUACUUUUUAGUGAUAAAUUUCUAAAUCUUUGUGGUUUAAUGAUGAAAAAUUGUAUUGAUAAUGAAAAGUUUUGAC